UAUUGCGACUGUUUCGGCAGUUGCCUAACUGAGAGGAUUGCCCCAUGGCACUCAGCGUUGAAGAAAAAGCCCAGAUCGUUAACGACUACAAGCAAGCUGAA
rnacentral:ncRNA from 1 species